CAGUCGAACGAAACUUCUUUAUCACCGAGUGCUUGCACUCACCGAUAAAGAGUUGAGUGGCGAACGGGUGAGUAACACGUGGGCAACCUGCCCAAAAGAGGGGGAUAACACUUGGAAACAGGUGCUAAUACCGCAUAACCAUAGUUACCGCAUGGUAACUAUGUAAAAGGUGGCUAUGCUACCGCUUUUGGAUGGGCCCGCGGCGCAUUAGCUAGUUGGUGGGGUAAAGGCUUACCAAGGCAAUGAUGCGUAGCCGAACUGAGAGGUUGAUCGGCCACAUUGGGACUGAGACACGGCCCAAACUCCUACGGGAGGCAGCAGUAGGGAAUCUUCCACAAUGGGCGAAAGCCUGAUGGAGCAACGCCGCGUGGGUGAAGAAGGUCUUCGGAUCGUAAAACCCUGUUGUUAGAGAAGAAAGUGCGUGAGAGUAACUGUUCACGUUUCGACGGUAUCUAACCAGAAAGCCACGGCUAACUACGUGCCAGCAGCCGCGGUAAUACGUAGGUGGCAAGCGUUAUCCGGAUUUAUUGGGCGUAAAGAGAACGCAGGCGGUCUUUUAAGUCUGAUGUGAAAGCCUUCGGCUUAACCGGAGUAGUGCAUUGGAAACUGGGAGACUUGAGUGCAGAAGAGGAGAGUGGAACUCCAUGUGUAGCGGUGAAAUGCGUAGAUAUAUGGAAGAACACCAGUGGCGAAAGCGGCUCUCUGGUCUGUAACUGACGCUGAGGUUCGAAAGCGUGGGUAGCAAACAGGAUUAGAUACCCUGGUAGUCCACGCCGUANACGAUGAAUGCUAAGUGUUGG
rnacentral:rRNA from 1 species